AUUGAACGCUGGCGGCAGGCUUAACACAUGCAAGUCGAGCGGAGUGAUGGUGCUUGCACUAUCACUUAGCGGCGGACGGGUGAGUAAUGCUUAGGAAUCUGCCUAUUAGUGGGGGACAACAUCUCGAAAGGGAUGCUAAUACCGCAUACGUCCUACGGGAGAAAGCAGGGGAUCACUUGUGACCUUGCGCUAAUAGAUGAGCCUAAGUCGGCUUAGCUAGUUGGUGGGGUAAAGGCCUACCAAGGCGACGAUCUGUAGCGGGUCUGAGAGGAUGAUCCUCCACGCUGGGACUGAGACACGGACCAGACUCCGACGGGAGGAAGCAGUGGGGAAUAUUGGACAAUGGGGGGAACCCUGAUCCAGCCAUGCCGCGUGUGUGAAGAAGGCCUUAUGGUUGUAAAGCACUUUAAGCGAGGAGGAGGCUCUUUUGGUUAAUACCCAAGAUGAGUGGACGUUACUCGCAGAAUAAGCACCGGCUAACUCUGUGCCAGCAGCCGCCGUAA
rnacentral:rRNA from 1 species